CAAUGAUGAUGAUGGUAAGAGGAGGCUGGGGACCUACCACCAGCACUUAUUAGGGGGACUCUGGGCAAUGGCCAGAAAGCCCACUAAUUUGAGUAAGUACCAGGCCGUUGCUGUAUGCUUCAUGCAUCAAAUUCACCUGAGAAAUGACCCUCAAUCUGGCCACCUUACUCCUGGACUCCGACUCAUACACAUGCCCCUCCAUGACUGUCUGGACACUCUGACAACUUCCACCACCAACAGCCCAGAUCUGACUGAUGUUGCCCUGCAAAGCCCAGAUGAGUCCUUCUUCACUGAUGAAAACAGCUUCAUGGAAGACUGAAUCAGUCUCUUCAAGCCUUACAGAUUCUUCAGAGUGAGAUCCAGGCUACAAAACAACAGGCUUGAGAAAAAAAACCUUUGCAAUGUUCCAGCCCCAUGGUUUCAAGCCAGGAGACCUGGUCCUGAUAUGCUUGGUUUGCUUGCACCGAGGACUUGACUAAAUACAUUCCCAAAUCAAUCUUGGCUACCCAAUCUGCCACUUUAUUUUGUGUCACUGUGUAUGUUGUUCCACAAGUCUUGUAUUAUAAUAAAAGAGGGGGCUGCAAACAUCUGGGAUUAACCACUGAACACUACAGGAGUAAACGAG
rnacentral:lncRNA from 1 species